rnacentral:rRNA from 1 species
CCUACGGGUGGCAGCAGUGGGGAAUAUUGCGCAAUGGAGGAAACCCUGACGCAGCAACGCCGCGUGGAGGAUGAAGGUUUUCGGAUUGUAAACUCCUUUUGUUAGAGAAGAUAAUGACGGUGUCUACCGAAUAAUCACCGGCUAACUCCGUGCCAGCAGCCGCGGUAAUACGGAGGGUGCAAGCAUGACUCGGAAUCACUGGGCGUAAGGAGCGCGUAGGCGGGAUAGAAAGUCGGAUGUGAAAUCCUAUGGCUUAACCAUAGAACUGCAUUUGAAACUGUUAUUCUAGAGUAUGGGAGAGGUAGGUGGAAUUCUUGGUGUAGGGGUAAAAUCCGUAGAGAUUAAGAGGAAUACUCAUUGCGAAGGCGACCUGCUAGAACAUAACUGACGCUGAUGCGCGAAAGCGUGGGGAGUAAACAGGAUUAGAUACCCGAGUAGUC